GGUAUUUUGACUAUACAAAGGUAUUGAAAUAAGAUUUUAAUUGAAUGCUAAGAGAAUGGAAUUUCAGAAAAAAGCUUUUUUUAAAUUAAAAAUUGAAUUUUUCUUAAUUUGUGCAGAGACAAUUAUUAAUAUUAAGGACAAGAAGACCCUAUGAAUUUAUUAAAUUUAUAUUAAUGAGAAUCUACUAUUAAAUAAAUUUUGGCUGGGGCGGCAAGAAAAUAUCAAAAACUUUUCAGAUAAUAAAAUGAUCCAUUAGUAAUGAUUACAUGUUAAAUA
rnacentral:rRNA from 1 species